ACGAACCGUGCAAACGUUGUUCGGAAUCACUGGGCUUAAAGGGCGCGUAGGCGGGCCAGCCAGUCUGUGGUGAAAGCCUCCAGCUUAACUGGAGAAGUGCCGUGGAUACUGCUGGCCUCGAGGAGGAUAGGGGCAUCUGGAACGGUCGGUGGAGCGGUGAAAUGCGUUGAUAUCGACCGGAACUCCGGUGGCGAAGGCGAGGUGCUGGGUCCUUUCUGACGCUGAUGCGCGAAAGCCAGGGGAGCAAACGGGA
rnacentral:rRNA from 1 species